CCUACGGGGUGCAGCAGUGGGGAAUAUUGGACAAUGGGCGAAAGCCUGAUCCAGCCAUGCCGCGUGUGUGAAGAAGGCCUUCGGGUUGUAAAGCACUUUCAGUGGGGAAGAAAGCCUUGGGGCUAAUACCCUCGAGGAAGGACAUCACCCACAGAAGAAGCACCGGCUAACUCCGUGCCAGCAGCCGCGGUAAUACGGAGGGUGCGAGCGUUAAUCGGAAUUACUGGGCGUAAAGCGCGCGUAGGCGGUCUGAUAAGCCGGUUGUGAAAGCCCCGGGCUCAACCUGGGAACGGCAUCCGGAACUGUCAGGCUAGAGUGCAGGAGAGGAAGGUAGAAUUCCCGGUGUAGCGGUGAAAUGCGUAGAGAUCGGGAGGAAUACCAGUGGCGAGGGCGGCCUUCUGGACUGACACUGACGCUGAGGUGCGAAAGCGUGGGUAGCAAACAGGAUUAGAUACCCCGGUAGUC
rnacentral:rRNA from 1 species